GGUGGGGAGCGCGCGGCGGGCUGCGGUCCGUCUCGCACGCGCGGGCCCCGCGCCGGUCCCGGGCUGCCGGUCUCCCAGGCGAUGGCAUCCGAGACCUUAAACAAAGGGGGCCGCCGCCGCCGGCGCGAAGCGGCUGCGGAAAGUCGCGGUGGCUGAUUUCCAAGGAGCGUGGCUGCUACCCGGUCUUUCGGCGCCGCGAGCUCCCUCUUCCCACCCCCGCCUCGGUAGGGACGGGGGACGGCCAGGGAAGGGAGAAGGAAACUUUGAAACCGCUGGGGACACGGCUGCCUAUAGACCUCUGCUGGGAAAAAAAUAAAACACCAACCCCAACCGUCAGCAGCAAGGUAACAGAAACGCGACCUCGUGUUUUCGCCUGUGCAGCUUUUUCCUUGUUAUAUUUGCCUUCUACUCUCUGCCCCAAAGGAAAGAUGUCCCAUCAGACUGUGACUGUCGUGAGGAGAAUGAAAGAGGACUCUUGUUUCAGAGGCAACCGAGAGCUCCGGCAAUAGCAACUUCAGAGCAAUGCACCAGCGCGCGAAGUUUUCCUAGGACAGAGCAAAGUCGAGCCGAGAGGACCGGAGGGGGAGAGCGGGAGCCCGCGUCUCCGCUCGGCACGCGAGCGGCCAGCACCACCACGCCUUCAAGGACAAAAAAAGUUUUCCUCCUCCAAGGGGAGACGAGCGAAGGGCGUUCCCGAAGAGCUGGCGAGGAGCGGCCGGUCGUCCGCGCUGUGGUCCAGCAGAAAGGAGCGGCUUCUUUUCUUUGUUGCCUCCCGUGAAGUCGCCACUUAGCAGGUGGACCGGGCCCAGCGCCCCGGGCAGAGUCCGCGCUUGCCCGAGGACCGGAGGAGGAGGAGGAGCGCCGGUCGGUGCGCCCGGCCCGAAGAGCCCCGGCGCAGGGCCGCGCCCCUCCCGGAGAGCCCCGCUGGAGCGAGCCGCUCGCGCCGGGGCUGGGGGGCGGCCACGACCCCCCCCGAGGGGGGCGGCCACGGAGUGCGCCCCGCCGAGAAGCGAGCCCCCCUCCCCGGAGCGCGGCUCCUGCGGCGGCGACUGCUGACCAAGGCCGGCCAGCGACCCCCGCGCCCUGCCCAGCGGCCUUGCAGCUGCACCCGGCGGCCGCGGCGGCGGCGGCGGAGGCGGCGGCGGGGCCGGC
ensembl:lncRNA